GAAGCAUGCUCACUAGAGCCCCUGAUCUCUCUCCUCAAAAAGUCAAAACCACUCUCUAAGACUCCUCACAGUCUGGCUGCCUCCACAGAUAGGUCUGAGACCUCAGUGAUAUCCUCAUGUGGCUGUGGAUGAGCUAGAGCUAACACUUGCCUCUGCAAGUCAAAUACUCUGCCAGUCAGUCUCACUAUACAACCCUCAAGCUGCUUGAUGCGUACUGACUGAUCAAAAAUCAUCUGGAAAAUAGUGAAGAUGUGGGGGAUCAGUGUUUGAUCAGAUAUAUCGUGAGAUAUUGAUCCCUGAGCAAAAGCUGAAGUGCCCAUCUAACGAGAU
rnacentral:lncRNA from 1 species